rnacentral:rRNA from 1 species
UACGUAGGGUGCGAGCGUUGUCCGGAAUUACUGGGCGUAAAGAGCUCGUAGGUGGUUUGUCGCGUUGUUCGUGAAAACUCACAGCUUAACUGUGGGCGUGCGGGCGAUACGGGCAGACUGGAGUACUGCAGGGGAGACUGGAAGUUCCUGGUGGUAACGGUGGAAGUGACGCGAGAUAUCAGGAGGAACACCGGUGGCGAAGGCGGGUCUCUGGGCAGUAACUGACGCUGGAGGAGCGAAAGCGUGGGGAGCGGACAGG